GACGAACGCUGGCGGCGUGCUUAACACAUGCAAGUCGAACGGAAAGGCCCUGCGUUUGUGGGGUGCUCGAGUGGCGAACGGGUGAGUAACACGUGAGUAACCCGCCCUUGACUUUGGGAUAACUUCAGGAGACUGGGGCUAAUACCGGAUAGGAGCUCCUGCUGCAUGGUGGGGGUUGGAAAGUUUCGGCGGUUGGGGAUGGACUCGCGGCUUAUCCGCUUGUUGGUGGGGUAGUGGCUUACCAAGGCUUUGACGGGUAGCCGGCCUGAGAGGGGGACCGGGCACAAUGCGCCUACGAGACGGCGCAGACUCCAAUGGGAGGCAGUAGGGGGGAGCAUUGCGGAACAGGCGGAAGCCUGAUGCGGCAGUGCCGCGAGCGGGAAGCCGGGCUUCUGGUUGUAAACCACUGUCGCAGGUGACGAAGCGUGAGUGACGGUAAUGGGUAAAGAAGCACCGGCUAACUACGUG
rnacentral:rRNA from 1 species